AUGCAAUAAGUAAUGUGAAUUGCAGAAUUCAGUGAAUCAUCGAAUCUUUGAACGCACCUUGCACUCCUUGGUAUUCCGAGGAGCAUGCCUGUUUGAGUGUCAUUAAAUUCUCAACUUCAUCAUUUUUGUUGAAGCUUGGAUAUGGGGGUUGUGCUGAACACUUUGGUGGUCUGCUCCCCUUAAAUGAAUUAGUGAGUUCAAACUGAGUUCCGUCUAUUGGUGUGAUAAUUAUCUAUGCUGUGGAUUGGACUUAGACUUGCUUCUAAACUGUCCACAAGGACAAUUCUUGACAAUUUGACCUCAAAUCAGGUAGGACUACCCGCUGAACUUAA
rnacentral:misc_RNA from 1 species